rnacentral:rRNA from 1 species
UACGGGAGGCAGCAGUGGGGAAUAUUGCACAAUGGGCGCAAGCCUGAUGCAGCCAUGCCGCGUGUAUGAAGAAGGCCUUCGGGUUGUAAAGUACUUUCAGUCGUGAGGAAGGUGUUAAGGUUAAUAACCUUAGCAAUUGACGUUAGCGACAGAAGAAGCACCGGCUAACUCCGUGCCAGCAGCCGCGGUAAUACGGAAGGUGCGAGCGUUAAUCGGAAUUACUGGGCGUAAAGGGCACGCAGGCGGUUAAUUAAGUUGGAUGUGAAAUCCCCGGGCUUAACCUGGGAAUGGCAUUCAAGACUGGUUAGCUAGAGUCUUGUAGAGGGGGUAGAAUUCCAUGUGUAGCGGUGAAAUGCGUAGAGAUGUGGAGGAAUACCGGUGGCGAAGGCGGCCCCUGGACAAAGACUGACGCUCAUGUGCGAAAGCGUGGGGAGCAAAC